GACAAUGAGUCUGUUUUCAAAGUAGAGCCUCAGCCCCUAAACCAUCCUUUGUCCUGUUUUGUACUAUCAGAGCUGGACCUUGUCAUCACUUAACACUUGGGAUAGUGUUUAGCAUUAUGGUAGAAGGCUCUACAAUGGUCCCACAGGAGAAAGGACACUCUUCUACCUGAACCCAGUGGUUUUCCCCUUUUGCUCCAGGGAUAUGCAGCUGAAGUGCCCUUCUCUUGAGGGGUCACUCAAAAGUGUGCCCCCUGUGGGUGGCUUCUUAGAAAGUUUUAUCAGCACUCUGGAUGCAGCUUUCUAGUGAGGAGUCUUAGAGGGGGCUUCCCAGCAAGUUUCAGCGACCUGCUCUUCAUUGUCUUCAGCUGGAGGCUUCCUAGUGGUGCUGCUGGAAUUCCCUUAGAGCAGCUAGUUUCUGGCUGGCCAGGCCUGGUACUCAACACCUCAGGGAAAUUCUCUCCCUGCAGUGGGAGGCAGCUGCACCUUCUCCAGCUGGUUCCGAGCUUCAGUCUGGGGGACUUUCUCCCAGGAUGCUCUUCCUUGAAAACUCUGUUUUAGUCCUAGCAGGAGUGGCUGCCACUUACACCUGCUUUUUCUGUGUUUUUUAGAUUCUCUCUAUCCUUUUUAUUAGUAAAUUCCCUCUGAUGAAUGGAUAAUUAUUCAUAUUCAAAUUUUCCAAUUCAAACGACUGGUUUGGUUACUGCCUGCGAGCCGACAUUGGCUGAUACAGACACCAUACAAGAACCCAGAAAAAGCUGGAAGAUAGGCAUGCCCUCUGUGACCACAACAUCCUGAAAGAAUCCAUUCUUAGCCACUUGGUCCUGAGCGUGAAAGGAGGUGUCUAAGCGCUUCCUUUUAAGUUCUCAUUAGAUUUUAUUUCAAUAAAGUUGUUGCAUCCCUUUCUCCUCCUCCCCCCGCUCCCCCCCCCCCCAAAAAAAAACGGUCCAUGGUUUCGCGGCUAUAGAGGAGCCACCUGGCUGCAGCUUGGAAAUCCAGGCAUUCAUCUCCCGGCGCCAUGGCUGUGGGCACAAAUGUGUAGGAGAUUCUAGAACUGGGGGAUGAGAGAGGCACAGGGCUUCCGGGACCAUCAGCAAGAAGCAGAUUAUCAAGCCAGACAAGAAAAAGUCCAAGAAGUCCUACGAAGUCCUGGCCUUCCAGAAGUCUGCGGAUGUGCACCCGGAAGUCUACCGCUGCUCUAGUCUGACAAGAAGGACUCACUGCUAUCCAGUGACACGGGCAAGGCCACCGCACCGUGAGGGCCAAGUUGGGCACCAAGAAGACGUGGCCCUGGAAGUGGAUGCCAUCCACCAACCCAGCAUGCAAGGAUGGAGCCUGUUCUUCCACUGGCGACAGGCAGCUGAGGAGGGCAAGGCUGUCCCCUUGCCCACGUUCGAUAAGACUGUUGGUGCCCGUGCAUUCAGAGCAGGAGUACCAGCUCUGGCUUCACCAAGACACUCAAACAGAGGCAGAAACUGGCCACCUCUUUGACCUCAGCCGCUGCUUUGGUCUCCCUUUUGUCAUUCGCCAUGCCUGGGAUGAUCGCCAGCAGUUGACGGAGCCACCUGUGGAGGACUUGAAGGAGCGGUAUUACCGCGUCUGAGCAGAGCUGGCCAACGUCCAGGCCGAGAUCUGGACAACGCACAGACCUCGGGGUACCAGUGUUCGAUGCUUGGCACUGGCGACGGUGGAAGGAACAACUGAAGCAUUGCUGUAAGUUGCCAGUAAGCACGCGACGGCGGAAGAGUACCCACUAUAUAAGCUGCUCCAGAUCUAGUCCCGGCAGAAGCAGCGUAGUGGGGAGCGCGGGAGCUUCUGACGGCUGCUGGCCGGGCUGCCUAGCAACGUCCUCCUGACGCAGUCACCUCACAAAAAAGGGGCCAAGAAGCCGGUUGUUCUGAGACUACAGGCAUGACUACCUUAGCAGAUGGAGCUGCUAGGGUCUAUGGAACAGACGAUCGAGGCCUGGAACCAGUGCUGGAUGUGGAGCUGAGCCCGGAGGAGGGGUUGGUGCGCAGGCUCGGCGAGGCGCGGCCCGAGCUGGUGCAGGUGGACCAGCUCGAGCAGGAUGGCGCCGCCCGUGGGGACGAGCCCCGGACGCUGGCCCCGGCUGGGUGCUGCGAGGCUGCCACCCCAGCGUCGGUGCUGGCCCUGGCGGAGCCUGAACCUGGCCUGGGGCCUGCUCCUAGCAAGGGCACCAUCGUCUACCAUCAUCGCACCCAUUGCGUCCACGAGGAAGCGAUGGGAAUCAUCUCCAGCUCCUCUUCUCUGAAAAAACCAAGAAACCCUGAGAGGCCGCAAGGGGUGAAGGAUGCGGCUGCGUAGAGCUGAUCUACAUUGUCCUACAUCGGGGCCCUCCUUCAGCCCUACAGCCUGAGCCCCAGAAUGACUGUCACUGGGAGCAGAGCCACAGCUGACUUGCAUGGCCACACACUCAACCACCAGCCCAAGUCAGUCUGCAGCCAUCAACAAUCGAAGCCAGACCCUCUGUCAGCAAGAUGAUGACUUGCUAAAGACUCAGAUGAUGGACUUCAGAGCAAACAAACCCAAGGGAAUCCUGAUCUGAGAAAAUGGAGUCCAUAUAUUUUUCUUUGAGCUGAAGGUAAUUUGAUGUAAUCAUUUCUGUGUUAUAUUCCCAGUUUAACAAACUGUUCUCUAUUCCAAAAUACAAAAUCAUUUAACAGUUCCUUGGGACAGGUGUAAAACUUCUAGACUUGUGUCCAAGGAUGGAGACAGUCUUUAUACAAGAGAAUUUAUAUAGCGUGAGUCGGUUUGAACCCUCAGCCACAUAGAUGUUUAAGUGAAAACAACACUCAGUUAAGUUGGGAGUGGUGACAAAUACAUAAAACUGAGCUUUUCAAUGCGCGUGUCAGAGUUUGGGUGGGGUAGGAGGAUAUCUGUAGAGACAACAUUAGAAUAAAUAUAGAGUAACUUAGACAACAUUUUAAAAACUCAUGAAUCUUAGCCUACAAAACAUAUAAACUGUUGUUCUCUCUAAGUGCUUAAUUUGCUUGCCUUAACCAUUUAUUGGGGCAGGAGAAAGCUUCAGGGACAUAAAUGUUAUGGAUAACUGCCCAAAAGUUGGUAUUAAUGAGCCAUGCCAUUUACAACAUACAACAUGGGGGAAACCUACCUCUCCCUCCCCUUUCUUUAUUGAGGUAUAACUGACAAAAAGGUAUAUAUUUAAGGUAUACAAGUGUCAGAUUUUGAUUUAUGUAUAUACCUUGUGGAAUAAUUACCAGUUAGGCAAACUAACGUACAUCACCUCACAUAGUUAACAUUUUCUGUGUGUAUGGUACGAGUACCUAAAAUCUUCUUUAGGAAACUUUCGAUGUCUAACAUAGCACACAGGCAUAGGCCCCGUGCUGGACAGUAGCUCUGCAGCACUGACUGCAAAGUGAAACUGCUCACGUUGCCCAGCAGCAGCCCCUCUCACCCGCCUUCUACCAUUUGUCUGUCCGGGUUCAGCUGAGGGAGGGAGGCAUGUCUCACGGUGCCUCUCACUUCAUUUAGCAUAAUGCCCUCCAGGUUCAUCCGCAUUGUCACAAAUGGCAGGACAUCCUUCUUCUUAAAGACUGAACAAUAUCCUGAUUAAUAGAGAUAAUCACACUUUAUCAUCUAGAGAUGAAUGGAUACUUUUGGGGUGCUAAAAUUUCCAUUGAUUCUUAUUUCUUUUAUUUCCUUAGGAAAGCAAAUGUAAGCAUUGUGUAAUUACUCGCUGAAGCAUCUGUAUGGUUCCUGUAGAAAAGAACAUCCAUAUAAUCCUGGUGUUGGAGUCAAAUUAUUUGCUUAUUCUCAUUCUUUGUGUGACAAGUGAGUGAUUUCCCCCUAAACCUGGACAUUCAAGCUAAAAUCUGAUUAUUAUUUAAAUUUUGUGUUUAUCAAGCUUCCUCCAAUGGCCACUUCAGUGCAAGAAGAGUGUGGGGGUGUCGUCUUGUUACCUUCAGACGAGCCGGAAGUGCAGGUUCUUCACAUGGCCUGGUUUCCCAUUGGGAUGAACGGGGGCUCUUUGUUACUGCUGGACGGGCUCAGAGUUCCAGCUCUCUCUCCAACUUCAGCUGGGACCUGGCUGGAAGCAGGAGAAGAUCUCGUCACCAGGCUUCACUGGGGCCCCCGCUGCCAGUUCCUUGGAGGAAGUGGACUCGUUAUCACGGAGUAGUGCUAAGAGCCUUGACUGCAUAGUUCUUGUUCUCACACACCCUCGGUGAGGAAGUGGAGGUACCUUGUUACUGCUGCAGAGAAGUGGCGAUCCAGACUCUGUCCUGGUCUCCACUGCAGCAUGGCACGAGAUCUGUCAGGGAUGGAAAGCUCAGUUCUCCAGUCAGCCUCUUCUGAUACCAAGCUGUGGAAGGAAAGUUAGAGUAUCUCACUGUUGCCUGCCAAGGGUGGAAGUCUUGCUUUUCCACGCAAAACUUUGCUAGAAAGGAUGAGGCUGGGGCUUACUCUACAGGUUACUCUACACCGGUUAUUGGGUGAAGGUUUUUCUCUUGUUACCUGGUCCUUCGGCUACAGAGAAGAGGCUGUACGAGGGUUCUUUUAGCAGCUUCUCCAGUAUUCAUUCUGAGAUACAUGAGACAAAAAGAAAACUUCAGAAUUCACCAAGUCGUUCCACAUAAACAUAGGUAUAAAUAUCUCCCAGUUUUGAACUUGUACUUGGUGGUUGGAAUAGGUAAAAGUACAUCUGUUCUUCUCCAUACUCUUUGAAAGUUCGAUAAAAUUCAUAUGAUUCUUGUUUUGUAAAUUGAGGUAUAAGUGAAAUAUAACAUUUCAGAUGUAUAAUAAAAUGGUUCAGUGUUUGUAUAUAUUGUGAAAUGAUCAUGAUAAAUUAUCUUAAAAAUCUUUUUAGAAAGCUAUAAUAAACUGAACAAAAUGUUUAUUGUAAUAUGCCUCACAGCAGAUAAUACUUAAUGUGAUAUAUGUCUCUGAUAUUUUACCCUGCUUUAAUGCCAAAUACUAAAGAAAAUGAUACAAACACAGAUCAUUACUGCCAGCAAAAAAUAAAUAAAAUUCACAUCCCUUUGGUGAAAUGCAAUGAUACAAACCAUGAGUUUGGAUAAUGUGGAUGACACUUUACAUGGAAAGGAAAAUCAAGAAUGAAAAUAAUUGUGAUGGAGUCCUGUGGUAUUCUUUUAAAACUCCUAUUAAAAUAUUGGAGGAUGAUGGGGUACAAGUGGAGACGUGAAUAGGUGCUUUAGGGUGACUACUGCAGUUUAUCUGGACCUCGCCUGGUUUUAACACUGAACGUCUCUUAGUCCUGGACAAACAGGAAGCGUAGUCAUCCUCACUGGACAACUGUGCUGAUUUACAGGUACUGUGCAAUUUUAAUCUUGUAAUUGUGGCUGUUUUACUACUAAUGCAUCCAAGGAAUUAUUAAAAUAACUGGGUAAAGUUCACCACAUUCUCUUACCUCAUCCAUCGUUGUAGCUGGGAGCUUGUGACUUCUAGUAACUACUGAAUUGGGUUUUCUGCUCUUGUUCUUCACCUCCUUUAGUCCCUUUGUUUCCAAACAGCAGAGUUCUUAAGAAUUGCAUUAGAAUCAAGCAAUUGGAGAGAUAUAUUUAUGAUUAGAAAACUGUUGACUAGAACCAAAGUUUAUUAUAUUAUCUGUAGAAUAAUAGACAUUUUAAAAUGAAUUAAUGUAGUUUGCUAUAUUUGCUAAAGUUAUAUUGUAUCAAUUACUUACUGGAAUCUUCAUUUACAAGAAAUAAUAGUAAUGU
ensembl:lncRNA